rnacentral:rRNA from 1 species
ACCCCGGCGAGGGGAGUGAAAAAGAACCUGAAACCGUGUACGUACAAGCAGUGGGAGCACAGAGCAAUCUGUGUGACUGCGUACCUUUUGUAUAAUGGGUCAGCGACUUAUAUUCUGUAGCAAGGUUAACCGAAUAGGGGAGCCGAAGGGAAACCGAGUCUUAACUGGGCGUUAAGUUGCAGGGUAUAGACCCGAAACCCGGUGAUCUAGCCAUGGGCAGGUUGAAGGUUGGGUAACACUAACUGGAGGACCGAACCGACUAAUGUUGAAAAAUUAGCGGAUGACUUGUGGCUGGGGGUGAAAGGCCAAUCAAACCGGGAGAUAGCUGGUUCUCCCCGAAAGCUAUUUAGGUAGCGCCUCGUGAAUUCAUCUCCGGGGGUAGAGCACUGUUUCGGCAAGGGGGUCAUCCCGACUUACCAACCCGAUGCAAACUGCGAAUACCGGAGAAUGUUAUCACGGGAGACACACGGCGGGUGCUAACGUCCGUCGUGAAGAGGGAAACAACCCAGACCGCCAGCUAAGGUCCCAAAGUCAUGGUUAAGUGGGAAACGAUGUGGGAAGGCCCAGACAGCCAGGAUGUUGGCUUAGAAGCAGCCAUCAUUUAAAGAAAGCGUAAUAGCUCACUGGUCGAGUCGGCCUGCGCGGAAGAUGUAACGGGGCUAAACCAUGCACCGAAGCUGCGGCAGCGACGCUUAUGCGUUGUUGGGUAGGGGAGCGUUCUGUAAGCCUGCGAAGGUGUGCUGUGAGGCAUGCUGGAGGUAUCAGAAGUGCGAAUGCUGACAUAAGUAACGAUAAAGCGGGUGAAAAGCCCGCUCGCCGGAAGACCAAGGGUUCCUGUCCAACGUUAAUCGGGGCAGGGUGAGUCGACCCCUAAGGCGAGGCCGAAAGGCGUAGUCGAUGGGAAACAGGUUAAUAUUCCUGUACUUGGUGUUACUGCGAAGGGGGGAACGGAGAAGGCUAUGUUGGCCGGGCGACGGUUGUCCCGGUUUAAGCGUGUAGGCUGGUUUUCCAGGCAAAUCCGGAAAAUCAAGGCUGAGGCGUGAUGACGAGGCACUACGGUGCUGAAGCAACAAAUGCCCUGCUUCCAGGAAAAGCCUCUAAGCAUCAGGUAACAUCAAAUCGUACCCCAAACCGACACAGGUGGUCAGGUAGAGAAUACCAAGGCGCUUGAGAGAACUCGGGUGAAGGAACUAGGCAAAAUGGUGCCGUAACUUCGGGAGAAGGCACGCUGAUAUGUAGGUGAAGUGAUUUACUCAUGGAGCUGAAAUCAGUCGAAGAUACCAGCUGGCUGCAACUGUUUAUUAAAAACACAGCA